rnacentral:rRNA from 1 species
GUGGGGAAUCUUGCGCAAUGGGCGAAAGCCUGACGCAGCCAUGCCGCGUGAAUGAUGAAGGUCUUAGGAUUGUAAAAUUCUUUCACCGGGGACGAUAAUGACGGUACCCGGAGAAGAAGCCCCGGCUAACUUCGUGCCAGCAGCCGCGGUAAUAUGAAGGGGGCUAGCGUUGCUCGGAAUUACUGGGCGUAAAGGGAGCGUAGGCGGACAUUUAAGUCAGGGGUGAAAUCCCGGGGCUCAACCUCGGAAUUGCCUUUGAUACUGGGUGUCUUGAGUGUGAGAGAGGUAUGUGGAACUCCGAGUGUAGAGGUGAAAUUCGUAGAUAUUCGGAAGAACACCAGUGGCGAAGGCGACAUACUGGCUCAUUACUGACGCUGAGGCUCGAAAGCGUGGGGAGCAAACAGGAUUAGAAACCCUGGUAGUCC